GACGAACGCUGGCGGCGUGCUUAACACAUGCAAGUCGAACGGUAAGGCCCUUCGGGGUACACGAGUGGCGAACGGGUGAGUAACACGUGGGUGAUCUGCCCUGUACUUCGGGAUAAGCCUGGGAAACUGGGUCUAAUACCGGAUAGGAUCACUGCCUGCAUGGGCGGUGGUGGAAAGCUUUUGCGUGGUGGGAUGGGGCGGCGGCCUAUCAGCUUGUUGGUGGGGUGAUGGGCUACCAAGGCGACGACGGGUUGCCGGCCUGCGAGGGGGACCGGCCACAGUGGGACUGAGAUAAGGCCCAGACUACUACGGGGGGCAGCAGUGGGGAAUAUUGCACAAUGGGCGAAAGCCUGAUGCAGCGGCGCCGCGUGAGGGGAGACGGCCUUCGGGUUGUAAACCUCUUUCUGCACGGACGAAGCGCAAGUGACGGUAGGUGCAGAAGAAGGACCGGCCAACUACGUGCCAGCCGCCGCCGUAA
rnacentral:rRNA from 1 species